AAGAAAAAAAAAAGCACCAGAAGAAAAAAAAAGCACCAAAAACAAAGCUCUCCUGGGGAGUUACCAGUUAGAUGCAAGCAGAAAAAUAAGUAUCUUUACAUUGAAUUUAGAAGUCACCUUGCAGAGAUUAAAAGCCAGCUGUAUGGACAGGAUGCUAGGAAGUCAUUAAACAGGAAAGGGUACCCUUAAAUGACAGCAAUACUGUCAGGAGCCAAGUGUCGAGGAAGCCAGCGGGAUUGUUAAUUCCUGGAUGCAUAAUGUGAUCCAUUCCCAGCACAGGACAUGGGCACACAGGUAGGAUUGCAAGGGGCAAUUCCCAGCACUGAGAAUUGUGCCAGUGAUGCCUCCACACUCCGUGCACACGUAAUCCCUGCUGGCUGUGCUGCUGCACGGGAGGGGAAUGGGAUGUCCUGAGGCCGUGGUUGCCGUGCUGCUGAGGUUUGAAAUGUGUUCUUGCUCCCCGUGCUGAGCCCUGCACAAAGCCCCCUUGAAGUUAAACAUGGAAUAGCAAGG